rnacentral:rRNA from 1 species
UACAGAGGUCUCAAGCGUUGUUCGGAUUCAUUGGGCGUAAAGGGUGCGUAGGUGGUGAUGCAAGUCUGGUGUGAAAUCUCGGAGCUCAACUCCGAAAUUGCACCGGAUACUGCGUGACUCGAGGACUGUAGAGGAGAUCGGAAUUCACGGUGUAGCAGUGAAAUGCGUAGAUAUCGUGAGGAAGACCAGUUGCGAAGGCGGAUCUCUGGGCAGUUCCUGACACUGAGGCACGAAGGCCAGGGGAGCAAACGGGG